CAGAAGCCGCGGUAAUACAGAGGGUGCGAGCGUUAAUCGGAUUUACUGGGCGUAAAGCGUGCGUAGGCGGCUUCUUAAGUCGGAUGUGAAAUCCCUGAGCUUAACUUAGGAAUUGCAUUCGAUACUGGGAAGCUAGAGUAUGGGAGAGGAUGGUAGAAUUCCAGGUGUAGCGGUGAAAUGCGUAGAGAUCUGGAGGAAUACCGAUGGCGAAGGCAGCCAUCUGGCCUAAUACUGACGCUGAGGUACGAAAGCAUGGGGAGCAAACAGGAUUAGAUACCCCUGUAGUCCCUGUCUCUUAUAC
rnacentral:rRNA from 1 species